UACGAAGGGGGCUAGCGUUGUUCGGAAUUACUGGGCGUAAAGCGCGCGCAGGCGGCUAUCCAAGUCAGUGGUGAAAGCCCGGAGCUCAACUCCGGAACUGCCAUUGAAACUGUUUAGCUGGAGUAUGAGAGAGGUGAGUGGAAUUCCCAGUGUAGAGGUGAAAUUCGUAGAUAUCGGGAGGAACACCUGUGGCGAAAGCGGCGCACUGGACCAUAACUGACGCUGAGGCGCGAAAGCUAGGGGAGCAAACAGG
rnacentral:rRNA from 1 species